ACCUACGGGGCGCAGCAGUGGGGAAUAUUGCACAAUGGGCGCAAGCCUGAUGCAGCGACGCCGCGUGAGGGAUGAAGGUCUUCGGAUCGUAAACCUCUGUCAGCAGGGAAGAACGGUCACUGUGCUAAUCAGCAGUGAAUUGACGGUACCUGCAAAGGAAGCACCGGCUAACUCCGUGCCAGCAGCCGCGGUAAUACGGAGGGUGCGAGCGUUAAUCGGAAUUACUGGGCGUAAAGCGCUCGUAGGCGGUAUGUCAAGUCAAGGGUGGAAUCCCCGCGCUCAACGUGGGAACUGCCUUUGAAACU
rnacentral:rRNA from 1 species